AAACUUCACACUGGGGGCAACCCCGAUGAGGGAAUUCCUAGUGCCAGGGCUUUUUGUCCUGGCUUUUCUCCAGCGUAGAUUACUGGAGGAAUAAGGGCUGGGUAAGACGGGUGCCAGCCGCCGCGGUAAUACCUGCAGCCCGAGUGGUGGUCGAUUUUAUUGAGUCUAAAACGUUCGUAGCCGGUUCAUUAAAUCCUUGGGUAAAUCGGAUGGCUUAACUAUCCGAAUUCCGGGGAGACUGGUGAACUUGGGACCGGGAGAGGCAAGAGGUACUUUUGGGGUAGGGGUAAAAUCCUGUAAUCCUAAAAGGACCACCGGUGGCGAAGGCGUCUUGCUAGAACGGAUCCGACGGUGAGGGACGAAGCCCUGGGGCGCAAACGGGAUUAGAUACCCCGGUAGUCCAGGGUGUAAACGCUGCAGACUUGGUGUUGGGGACCCUUUGGGGGUGUUCAGUGCCGGAGAGAAGUUGUUAAGUCUGCUACUUGGGGAGUACGUCCGCAAGGAUGAAACUUAAAGGAAUU
rnacentral:rRNA from 1 species